AACCUUGGCCUAAAAUUACUUAAAAAGGCAAAGGGGAAGACAAAUACGCCCAUAACUAGAUAAAGUAACGUGAGGAAUAGGUUACAUUGUCCUGGACCAAAAAUGAUGAAGACAGCUUUUGUGUGUUUAUUGUUCGGCUUGAUUGUGGUAUCAGAAGUUACCAAACUAACAGUAAAUGCUCAAAAUAGUAGCUCGACAACGAUGGCUCCAAAUACCACAACACCAGCUGGAGCCGUGGGCAUGCAUGGGACCUCUGUGAUAUUGCAAAUUGUUCUUGCUAUCACUGGAGCCCUGUUCCUCGAAUUUCUCAGGAACUAACAAGAAAUGCACCGUUACGUACAAACUGUCACGAUGAUACAUCGUACUUCAGAAACAUCCAAAAUAUAUUAGUGAAUGAAUUUUGUACUAUACACAUAAACAAAUCAGACUGCACGUAUAUGUAAAUUCUUCUUUAUUUUACAAUAGAUGUGUGUUCUUUUUCUGCUUAUAUUUAAUGACGAAUCUCUGAUGACGGUCACUGAAUCCACCAUUUGAGCUGAAUUUUUGCUAUUCUAAGCAAUAUUGAUGACGCUUGGGUUGGACGUCUGUUGAUCAUUUAGGGAAUUUCCGAGUUCUCAAAGCACUAACUUCAAUACACUUCUAAAUAAAAUAUAUUUUAUAUA